rnacentral:rRNA from 1 species
AAAGGAAUAGACGGGGGCCCGCACAAGCGGCGGAGCAUGCGGAUUAAUUCGAUGCAACGCGAAGAACCUUACCUGGGCUUGACAUGUGCCGGACGCCCGCGGAGACGUGGGUUCCCUUCGGGGCCGGUUCACAGGUGGUGCAUGGUCGUCGUCAGCUCGUGUCGUGAGAUGUUGGGUUAAGUCCCGCAACGAGCGCAACCCUCGCCGCGUGUUGCCAGCGGGUCAUGCCGGGAACUCACGUGGGACCGCCGGGGUUAACUCGGAGGAAGGUGGGGAUGACGUCAGAUCAUCAUGCCCCUUACGUCCAGGGCUUCACGCAUGCUACAAUGGCCGGUACAACGGGGUGCGACACGGUGACGUGGGGCGGAUCCCUGAAAACCGGUCUCAGUUCGGAUCGCAGUCUGCAACUCGACUGCGUGAAGGUGGAGUCGCUAGUAAUCGCGGAUCAGCAACGCCGCGGUGAAUGCGUUCCCGGGCCUUGUACACACCGCCCGU